rnacentral:rRNA from 1 species
AGUCGAACGAAGCUUUCGGGCUUAGUGGCGCACGGGUGCGUAACGCGUAUGCAAUUUACCUUUUACAGGGGGACAACACUAGGAAACUGGUGCUAAUACCGCGUAAUAAAUAGAGAGGCAUCUUUUUAUUUUAAAAGAAUUUCGGUAAGAGAUAAGCAUGCGUCCCAUUAGCUAGUUGGUAAGGUAACGGCUUACCAAGGCCACGAUGGGUAGGGGAACUGAGAGGUUUAUCCCCCACACUGGUACUGAGAUACGGACCAGACUCCUACGGGAGGCAGCAGUAAGGAAUAUUGGGCAAUGGGCGAGAGCCUGACCCAGCCAUGCCGCGUGCAGGAUGACGCUCCUCGUUGGGUGUAAACUGCUUUUAUUAGGGAAGAACAAGUUUCUGCGGAGACAACUGACGGUACCUAAUGAAUAAGCACCGGCUAACUACGUGCCAGCAGCCGCGGUAAUACGUAGGGUGCAAGCGUUGUCCGGAUUUAUUGGGUUUAAAGGGUGUGUAGGCGGUCUAGUAAGUUUUGGGUGAAAGCCCACCGCUCAACGGUGGAACUGCCUGAGAUACUGCUAGACUUGAGUAUAGUUAAAGUUACUAGAAUUGGUGGUGUAGCGGUGAAAUGCAUAGAUACCC